CUUCACCUUUCAAGGAAUUAUUUAACAGUGGGCCCAGUGACUUGAUAUUGCCCAAACCUUUUUAUUUUACAGAAUAAGCUCCAAGACACUAACUGAUCUACUGUGAAAUAUAAAAUGUUUUUAUUAGCCUUAUCAAAUAAAUGAGCACAGUUCUUUGCCCACUGCAUUAAACUGGGUGAUAAUUCUUUAGAUGUAAAUAUUAGGUAAGUUCUACUGUAAUAACUAAUUGUAAAACUUGUAAAUUUGUUUAAUGGAUGCAAUGUACACUUAUUGUAUUCUGUACAGCUUUGUCUUUUUUGAAUAUGAAGUACUUAAAUGCACUAUGAUAGAAAAUAUGUGUGCCUUCUAGGAUUGUGAAAUGGUUUCAUGAACUUUAAAGGAAUUUUUUUUAUAAGUUAUAAAGUUUUCCCAAUCCUAACUCAAUAACAAAGAGUUUACUCAUAAUGCUGUAGAACUUUAGUUUGAGAAAAUGAACUUGACUGUGUACUGAAUUUAAAGGUUGAGAGUAAUAGUAUCUGCUUUAUUCUUAGGACAAACUGAUAAAUUGUGCAAUAAAUAAUCUUUAGCAAAUAAAUUUUAGCUAAUUGAUGAGUUUUUUUCUUAUGUAAUUUCACAUUCUUAUACACUAAAUAUUUAUAUUCUUUAUAGAAGUAUUUUAUAUUGUGCUCUAGGGGUUGUGAUGUUUGUGCACUAUGUUUUAAAAUUUAUUUCAAAUUGGACUCAAUUUUGUUACAUCCAAUAUAUGUCUGUGUAAUAGGUCUGCUUGAAAAUAUCUUUUGGUUCAGUGAUUAUUAACAUUAGGAAGUUGGAUUCAUUAAAAAGCAGUUGGAAGAAUUUGUAUUUUUAACUUCUCUUUUUUAUAUCUUAAUCAAGCUUACUUUUUGUAGGAAUAAGAAAACUACUUGGAGAUAAGCAAGAUCAGCUAAUCACCCACAUUUAUGAUGGGCAAAACAAUGACAAUAUUAAUAUAAACAGACUUUCAUUUGUUUUUAUGUCUUUCUACACUAUUGGACAGUAAAAAUAAUCGAUUAUAUACUCCACCCUGUGGUAGUUUGAUGAUUACCUUGUAAAGUUUUUCCAAGAUAUAAGAAUGUAAUUAGAUAAGUAUCUUAGCAUCUUAGUGCUAAGAAGACAAAGGACGUUUAUAAGAGGGAGUGGCAGUUUAUUAUUAAAUUUACUGAUGCAUAGUAUCAUCAUAUUAUGGAGAAAUAUACACAUUUUGGUAUCAAAUGACAUAAAAGCCUCCUCAGAUAUAUUUUGAUAAUCUUGCAGCUGUUUGAAGUAUUACACUCUGUCAUCCUCUACCUUUUUAAUAAAAUAUUUAUUCUUUAGAGUUUAA